AUUGAACGCUGGCGGCAUGCCUAACACAUGCAAGUCGGACGAGUGGCGGACGGGUGAGUAAUAUCUGGGAACCUGCCGGGUGAUGGGGGAUAACUAAUGGAAACAUUAGCUAAUACCGCCUACCAUCAGAUGUGCCGAUAUCGGAUUAGCUGGUUGGUGGGGUAAAGGCUCACCAAGGCGACGAUCCUUAGCGGGUCUGAGAGGAUGACCCGCCACACGGGAACUGAGCAACGGUCCAGACUCCUACGGGAGGCAGCAGUGGGGAAUUUUGCACAAUGGGCGCAAGCCUGAUGCAGCCAUGCCGCGUGUAUGAAGAAGGCCUUCGGGUUGUAAAGUACUUUUAUAGGGGAGGCGUUACCUGAAGAAGAAGCACCGGCUAACUACGUGCCAGCAGCCGCGGUAAUAC
rnacentral:rRNA from 1 species